rnacentral:rRNA from 1 species
CCCUUAGAUGUUCUGGGCCGCACGCGCGCUACACUGAUGCGUUCAACAAGUUUCCUUGGCCGAGAGGCCUGGGCAAUCUUCUUAAUAUGUAUCGUGAUAGGGAUGGAUUAUUGCAAUUAUUAAUCUUGAACGAGGAAUUCCUAGUAAACGCAGAUCAUCAAUCUGCAUUGAUUACGUCCCUGCCCUUUGUACACACCGCCCGUCGCACCUACCGAUUGGAUGUUCCGGUGAAGCCUCGGGAUGAGGACUGGUGCCUUUAUUGGCAUGAGUUGUUCAGAACUUGUCUAAACCUUAUCAUCUAGAGGAAGGUGAAGUCGUAACA